rnacentral:rRNA from 1 species
CACCUCCCACCCGUGUUUAUUUUACCUUGUUGCUUCGGCGGGCCCGCCUUAACUGGCCGCCGGGGGGCUUACGCCCCCGGGCCCGCGCCCGCCGAAGACACCCUCGAACUCUGUCUGAAGAUUGUAGUCUGAGUGAAAAUAUAAAUUAUUUAAAACUUUCAACAACGGAUCUCUUGGUUCCGGCAUCGAUGAAGAACGCAGCGAAAUGCGAUACGUAAUGUGAAUUGCAAAUUCAGUGAAUCAUCGAGUCUUUGAACGCACAUUGCGCCCCCUGGUAUUCCGGGGGGCAUGCCUGUCCGAGCGUCAUUUCUGCCCUCAAGCACGGCUUGUGUGUUGGGCCCCGUCCUCCGAUCCCGGGGGACGGGCCCGAAAGGCAGCGGCGGCACCGCGUCCGGUCCUCGAGCGUAUGGGGCUUUGUCACCCGCUCUGUAGGCCCGGCCGGCGCUUGCCGAUCAACCCAAAUUUUUAUCCAGGUUGACCUCGGAUCAGGUAGGGAUACCCGCUGAACUUAAGCAUAUCAUA